rnacentral:rRNA from 1 species
GACGAACGCUGGCGGCGUGCUUAACACAUGCAAGUCGAGCGGUAAGGCCCUUUCGGGGGUACGACGAGCGGCGAACGGGUGAGUAACACGUGGGUGACCUGCCCUCAGCUCUGGGAGUAAGCCUGGGAGACCGGGUCGUAAUACUGGAUAUGACUCCAUGACGCAUGUUGUGGGGUGGAAAGCCUUGUGCGGCUGAGGAUGGGCCCGCGGCCUAUCAGCUUGUUGGUGGGGUGAUGGCCUACCAAGGCGACGACGGGUAGCCGGCCUGAGAGGGCGACCGGCCACACUGGGACUGAGACACGGCCCAGACUCCUACGGGAGGGCAGCAGUGGGGGAAUAUUGGACAAUGGGCGCAAGCCUGAUCCAGCGAUGCCGCGUGUGUGAAGAAGGCCUGCGGGUUGU